UCUUUGCAUGCCAGGAUGCUAGGAUAGCAUAACAUUGCGUUCCAGACUCCCAACUUAGAGGCUGAUUCCACGUGACCAUGUAGGAUGGAAAGCGCGCGAAAUUUUCGGUAAGACGCGUGUUCGGGCCUUUAUUUUCGUGCUGUGGCUUGUGAAUGAAGAAGUGAAUUCUCCUCAACUGUGACACUUAAACUUACGCUAUCUUUGAGAAAUGAGUGUUUUGUUCAUUUGUAGCAUUAAACACCUGUCAACUUUCAUCAAAUGGACUCCGAAUUCAGUACACGGAGGACAGAGGUUCUUCGAUGAGGGAAUUGUCGAUCUUACAGCCGCUUCGUUCACACGCUCGAAGCCAUGUCCCUGGUACUGUAAACCUUUUUUUGAAAAAAAUUUAGAGCAUACUGUUCCUUACUUCUUUAAAAUUUGGUUCAUUUUUGAUAAGACUUAAACACAGUAAGGGCUUUAGGGGGAAAAGCCAAUUUUUAAAAGGUUGAUUAAAUUUAGUAUGGUUAAUCUCGCAUUUGGGGAAAUACUACGACAUACUUUUUUCCCAUGCGUUUUCGUUACCCGCAAAACAGUCACUAUUUAAAUAUUUACGUUCAUUUUUAUUUGGCCGAUUGAAUCCUACCUGUGUUUCUAAGUUGUCCACCACUGAGUUUGUAUUUUUUUUGCUUUUUAUCUUCACAUGGAAGCCAUCUUGAAUGACGGAAGAUUGCAUUUCCAUGCUGAGAUGGGACAGUAUUGUGAAGUAACUUGAGAAAACUUCAAAUCCAGGAAAAUUUAUGGAUGGCAAAUUUAAGACUUCAACACUUCCUAACAGUUUACAAGACACACAGAAGUUAUGUGUUGGCACUCUAAAUUCAACAAGGAAACAGAAAGUAGAAAAUCCUUUCUUGCUCCAGCUGAUAAAUUGUGGAAAGCAUUGCCAGUAUUUGUGAGGUUACAUGGUCAGCAGAUAAAUGUAGAGAAACCUAAAGUAAAGGACUUCUACUGAAUUUUAGACAAACAGAACACCUUAUCACCACCAACUAUGCAAAUGAAAUGGAAGAGUAUUUUUGCCAUAGAGAUCAGUCAAUGGCAAGCCUUUGUUAAAUCAGUGAUUGAAAUUAGCAAAGAGACAAAGGUAAGGUAAUUUCUUGUUAUAUUUCUGCGUAAAUUAUCUUUGUAAAAAUGAGCUGUUCCAUUUGGAAUCAAACAGGACAUUACUUGUUUAUACUGCAGAGAAGAGGAUUCUAUUAACCACACCUUCAUUUGUGGCAAAGUUACAAUAUCCCUUCUGGAAAGUAUUUUGUGGUGGUUUAACUCUAUAAGGAACAAUUUGGACCUGAAUCCUUCUCUGAAAGAAUCUCUAUUUAGAUUAUGUAUAAAAUCAACUAAUUGAAACUUGGUUAUUUAUGAGAUUUAACAAAUAUUCCUGUAACCUCCAUUAAAAAAAAUUUAACCCUCUCUAAUUUUGCCAGCCUAAUGAUGAUAAAUGUAAAUGGAAGAAAAAUUGUUAAUCAGGUGAUACUUUAGUGCUAUUAUCAUCAAAAAAGUUGUAGUGGUUGCAAUACUUGAAGAUGUGACACAGUAAAUAUGUUGUGAAAAAAGUAAAAAAAACAGGAAUAAGAAAAUUUUAGUGCCUAUGUAUGUUAAUAAACUUAAAGGUAUUGUCACUUGAACUAGGGUUUCAAUUUUAGUAUUAUUAUUAGAUCCCAAAGUAGUAUCAUAGUUACCUUUUACUCAAAAGCAUUGUAAGAAUCAACUUUUAGUGCCAGUAUUAGCAAUGGUACGAAUAAUGUCAUCAGUUUUCCCUAUUCCUCUUAAAUAAAAAGGUUUGGAAACAAGUUGAAGCCUUUAUCGGCUUUCAACUCAUUACUUCAUGAUAUAAUACACUCAUACAAAUAGGGUAAAGCAGGAUGAAAAGGAAUAUUUCAAUCAGCCAUCCAACUGUAGUAUGCAA